rnacentral:rRNA from 1 species
UACGGAGGGUGCAAGCGUUAUCCGGAUUCACUGGGUUUAAAGGGUGCGUAGGCGGGCAGGUAAGUCAGUGGUGAAAUCCUAGAGCUUAACUCUAGAACUGCCAUUGAUACUAUCUGUCUUGAAUAUUGUGGAGGUAAGCGGAAUAUGUCAUGUAGCGGUGAAAUGCUUAGAUAUGACAUAGAACACCUAUUGCGAAGGCAGCUCACUAAGCUUUAACUGACACUGAGGCACGAAAGUGUGGGGAUCAAACAGG